UACGUAGGUGGCAAGCGUUGUCCGGAUUUACUGGGCGUAAAGAGCGCGCAGGCGGUCGGGUAAGUCGAAUGUGAAAGCCCCUGGCUCAACUGGGGAGGGUCAUUCGAUACUGCUCGACUCGAAGGCAGGAGAGGGAAGCGGAAUUCCCGGUGUAGUGGUGAAAUGCGUAGAUAUCGGGAGGAACACCAGUGGCGAAGGCGGCUUUCUGGCCUGUUCUUGACGCUGAGGCGCGAAAGCUAGGGGAGCAAACGGG
rnacentral:rRNA from 1 species